rnacentral:rRNA from 1 species
CACGAAGUUAGCCGGUGCUUAUUCUUUGGGUACCGUCAUCCCUGUCGAGUAUUAAUCAACAGGAUUUCUUUCCCAACAAAAGGGCUUUACAACCCGAAGGCCUUCUUCACCCACGCGGUAUGGCUGGAUCAGGCUUGCGCCCAUUGUCCAAUAUUCCCCACUGCUGCCUCCCGUAGGAGUCUGGACCGUGUCUCAGUUCCAGUGUGGCUGAUCAUCCUCUCAGACCAGCUACGGAUCGUCGCCUUGGUGGGCCUUUACCCCACCAACUAGCUAAUCCGACAUCGGCUCAUCCAAUCGCGUGAGGCCUAAAAGGUCCCCCACUUUCACCCGAAGGUCGUAUGCGGUAUUAGCGUAAGUUUCCCUACGUUAUCCCCCACGACAAGGUAGAUUCCGAUGUAUUCCUCACCCGUCCGCCACUCGCCACCCACAAGAGCAAGCUCUUGCCGUGCUGCCGUUCGACUUGCAUGUGUUAGGCCUACCGCCAGCGUUCACUCUGAGCCAGGAUCAAACUC